GACGAACGCUGGCGGCGUGCUUAACACAUGCAAGUCGAACGGAAAGGCCCUGCUUUUGUGGGGUGCUCGAGUGGCGAACGGGUGAGUAACACGUGAGUAACCUGCCCUUGACUUUGGGAUAACUUCAGGAAACUGGGGCUAAUACCGGAUAGGAGCUCCUGCUGCAUGGUGGGGGUUGGAAAGUUUCGGCGGUUGGGGAUGGACUAGCGGCUUAUCAGCUUGUUGGUGGGGUAGUGGCUUACCAAGGCUUUGACGGGUAGCCGGCCUGAGAGGGUGACCGGCCACAUUGGGACUGAGAUACGGCCCAGACUCCUACGGGAGGCAGCAGUGGGGAAUAUUGCACAAUGGGCGGAAGCCUGAUGCAGCAACGCCGCGUUCGGGAUGACGGCCUUCUGGUUGUAAACCGCUUUCGCCUGUGACGAAGCGUGAGUGACGGUAAUGGGUAAAGAAGCACCGGCUAACUACGUG
rnacentral:rRNA from 1 species